GACGAACGCUGGCGGCGUGCUUAACACAUGCAAGUCGAACGAUGAAGCCUAGCUUGCUAGGUGGAUUAGUGGCGAACGGGUGAGUAAUACGUGAGUGACCUACCUUUGACUCUGGGAUAAGCCUGGGAAACUGGGUCUAAUACCGGAUACGACCAAUCUCCGCAUGGGGUGUUGGUGGAAAGCGUUAUGGAGUGGUUUUAGAUGGGCUCACGGCCUAUCAGCUUGUUGGUGAGGUAAUGGCUUACCAAGGCGACGACGGGUAGCCGGCCUAAGAGGGUGACCGGCCACACUGGGACUGAGACACGGCCCAGACUCCUACGGGAGGCAGCAGUGGGGAAUAUUGCACAAUGGGCGCAAGCCUGAUGCAGCGACGCCGCGUGAGGGAUGACGGCCUUCGGGUUGUAAACCUCUGUUAGCAUCGAAGAAGCGAAAGUGACGGUAGGUGCAGAGAAAGCGCCGGCUAACUACGUG
rnacentral:rRNA from 1 species